AUACCUUCUCGAAACAAAAGAUUUUCCUACCUGCUUAUACUUGGUAACCGAGGGAAUUUCUAAGACUUCUUGCUCAUUUCUGAGUAUUGUCUUUAUAUCCUGACACUAUGAAUGCUACUUGGAUGCCUCUUAAGAGUCUCUCUUUGUUGCCCAGGCUGGAGUACAGUGGGGUGAUCUCAGCUCACUGCAACCUCCUCCUCCUAGGUUCAAGUGAUUCUUCUGCCUUAGCCUUCCAAGUAGCUGGAGUUACAGGUGCUCGCCACCAUGCCUAGCUAAUUUUUACAUUUUUGGUAGAGAUGGGGUUUCUCCACAUUGGCCAGGCUGGUCUCGAACUCCUGACCUCAAGUGGUCCACCCACCUCGGCCUCUUAAAGUGCUGAGAUUGCAGGCGUGAGCCACCGCACCUGGUCUGAAGAUCCCAUCUCUAAGAUCACAUUCUGAGGGUCUCUUCUGCAGGGUCCCCAUGAAUUGUGGCUGAAGUUGUGCACAAACAAGUAUCUCCAGUGACAGGAGUGCCUUCUGAGGCAGCCAUUGCAUCUUCAUCUGCUGACACUCUGCUAGGCUGACUUCUGUAGUUUUCACCACUGAUCUUCAGUCCACCUCACAGAGCUCUAUAAAACGCUUAAAUCCUCUUUACAUCAUAGACUUUCAGCUACUUGAAGAUAGCCAUCAGCCGCUACGUGACUCUUUUCUCCAGGAUCUCCCUAAUACUAUGAACGCGGCAGAGAUAACGGACAAGCUCGGCCUCCAUUCCCUCCG
rnacentral:lncRNA from 10 species